rnacentral:rRNA from 1 species
CAGCAGCCGCGGGAAUACGUAGGUGGCAAGCGUUGUCCGGAAUUAUUGGGCGUAAAGGGCUCGCAGGCGGUUUCUUAAGUCUGAUGUGAAAGCCCCCGGCUCAACCGGGAAGGGUCAUUGGAAACUGGGAAACUUGAGUGCAGAAGAGGAGAGUGGAAUUCCACGUGUAGCGGUGAAAUGCGUAGAGAUGUGGAGGAACACCAGUGGCGAAGGCGACUCUCUGGUCUGUAACUGACGCUGAGGCACGAAAGCUAGGGGAGCAAACAGGAUUAGAUACCCCCGUAGUCCCUGUCUCUUAUAC